rnacentral:rRNA from 1 species
AGUGAACGCUGGCGGUAGGCCUAACACAUGCAAGUCGAACGGCAGCACAGUAAGAGCUUGCUCUUACGGGUGGCGAGUGGCGGACGGGUGAGGAAUACAUCGGAAUCUACUUUUUCGUGGGGGAUAACGUAGGGAAACUUACGCUAAUACCGCAUACGACCUACGGGUGAAAGCAGGGGAUCUUCGGACCUUGCGCGAUUGAAUGAGCCGAUGUCGGAUUAGCUAGUUGGCGGGGUAAAGGCCCACCAAGGCGACGAUCCGUAGCUGGUCUGAGAGGAUGAUCAGCCACACUGGAACUGAGACACGGUCCAGAAUCCUACGGGAGGCAGCAGUGGGGAAUAUUUGGCAAUGGGCGCAAGCCUGAACCAGCCAUACCGCGUUGGUGAAGAAGGCCUUCGGGUUGUAAAGCCCUUUUGUUGGGAAAGAAAAGCAGCAGGUUAAUACCCCGCUGUUCUGACGGUACCCAAAGAAUAAGCACCGGCUAACUUCGUG